CGAAGAGUUUGAUCCUGGCUCAGGGUUAACGCUGGCGGUAUGUUUAAUACAUGCAAGUCGUGCGCAAUUUUUUAAAUUGAGCGGCGAACGGGUGAGUAACACGUUGGAACCUGCCCCGGACUCAGGGAUAACCUACCGAAAGGUUUGGUUAAUACCGGAUAGUCCCGCAAGGGUAAAGCUUUUGCGGUCCGGGAGGGGCCUGCGGCCUAUCAGUUUGUUGGUAAGGUAACGGCUUACCAAGGCUAUGACGGGUAGCUGGUCUGAGAGGAUGACCAGUCACAAUGGGACUGAGACACGGCCCAUACUCCUACGGGAGGCAGCAGUAAAGAAUCUUCCGCAAUGGGCGAAAGCCUGACGGAGCAAUACCGCGUGAGCGAAGAAGGCCGAAAGGUUGUAAAGCUCUUUUCUGAGAGAAGAAUUCUGACGGUACCUUAGGAAUAAGCACCGGCUAACUCCGUGCCAGCAGCCGCGGUAAUACGGAGGGUGCGAGCGUUAAUCGGAAUUACUGGGCGUAAAGCGUGC
rnacentral:rRNA from 1 species